UGAGGUUGCAAAUUCCGCAUGGCGGGGUUAUGCGGCAAUAUACAAUAUAGCAGCGCCGGACGGUGCUGAAACCCGACGAAUAAAGCAGAGAGCAGACCUUCAGAUGGACUGGACGAACACGCCCCGAAUCGACUCCGCUUCCUCGGACCCGGCUGACCAGUCAACACGUCUUUUAAAGCACCGAACAUAUAUGAAAGUGUAAAUCGAUUCUGCUGAACCUCGGGUGGAUCAGACGUCGAGUCCAAGGCGGGCGUGGGGACAGGGCUUAUUACGAGCUGCAUGAAAAUUUCACAUCCGACCCGAUAUUCACCUGUUUCCUGCUGAUCACACAGAGGAGCAGACUGCUUUCCCAGAAAUGUCUUGGACACCAGACAAAGAAAGCCAGUGACUGACCAGCCAGACAGCAGCAUCUCACAGCUUCAGCGCCACAACCACGAGUCUGGUUUAGGGCUUCUCUCACUCAGUUGUGUGUUAAUGAUGAUCUUUUUGGAUUAUCGAGUUUACCAGAGUGUCGCUCUCCUCGGAUAAAGUAAAGAUCAGUUCUAAGUG